rnacentral:misc_RNA from 1 species
GAUUAUUUGGGAUGUCAGAUUCAAAACCAUUGUUGGUCUUGUUGUCUUGAUUUUCAUAAUAUGGUUGUGACCAACUGUCGAGGUGAUCGUAUAUGUCUUAGUUUGGCCCUUGUUUAGCAUGAACCUUUAUUAUUGUUUGGUACCCAAUGCCAUAAUUUUCAUCCGUUUCAUCUCUAGUUGAAUGGAUAAAUCGAGAUGUUGACAUUAUGAACUAUGUGUUGUAUUUG